rnacentral:rRNA from 1 species
CCCUUAGAUGUUCUGGGCUGCACGCGCGCUACACUGAUGCGAUCAACAAGUUUUUCCUAUGUCGAUAGACACGGGUAAUCUUUUGAACUCGCAUCGUGAUGGGGAUAGAUUAUUGUAAUUAUUAAUCUUCAACGAGGAAUUCCUAGUAGGUGCAAAUCAUCAGUUUGCAUCGAUUACGUCCCUGCCCUUUGUACACACCGCCCGUCGCUGCUACCGAUUGGUUGAUCUGGUGAAUUAUUCGGACUGCCGGCUGAAGGGGUUUCCUCAUCUGCCAGCGGAAAGUCUUGUUAACCCUAUCAACGAGAGGAAGCAGAAGUCGUAACA